rnacentral:lncRNA from 1 species
GUUUGACUGCGGGUGUGAGGACUCCAUUGAGCAUCCUCGGUAUAACAUAAUUUAUCAAGGAAACAUAGUAUCAGUCAAAAAUACGAGGCUCAAAGGAUGAAAAAAUGAGGGCUUGCUCUUUUCUUAUUUCUCUGCAGGAUCAAGGAUGCUGUUGACAGUUGAGGAAUUCAUGCUGUCUUUUCUAAGACACAGAUCAAGGUUGCUUUUGAAUGCACUAUCAGUUGUUAAAGCCACCGUUUCUUUUUCAGAUGAUUACAUUUUUGUCUCUUGCUCUUUGGUUUCAGACAUUACACGAUGAUCUACUGUCUGGAAAGAUCCGCUCCAACAGAAUGUUCCUUUGGAGGAAUCCCGCCACCUCACUCCGACUAAAGCAGCAUCUUAAGAUAAGGACACUAAGUUGGAGUGAGCAGCGCGUAAGUAAAAAUGCCAUCCAUCAUGAGUAUUUUUACUCUCAGGGGUGUUACAUUUGAAAGGUGUUUACUUUCUGUGUUUUUCUUCAAUAGAUGUUCGAGCUCCUGCGGUUCAUUGAGGUGGCAACAAACAUUUCUAAAAAAAUAAAGAGAGGCGAGAUUCAUCUGCUUGAUUUCGUUUUUGACGUCAUGCUCCCAGAGGUGAGUAGAUCAAACUAUAUAGCUUGCUUUGAAAAUUGAUGAUAUUGUUAAGAGGUUGUUCUUAUUCAUUUGGAAAGCUCAAGAACAACAAUUAACCCAUACUGCAUAACUUCAAUUGUUCACAUUAUUUGACUGUUUUUCAGCUUUUGAUCAAAGCACUGAAGGAGCAUGGCAUCAACCGGUUCAGAGCAGAGCUGAUGAUGGCCUGUGGCAACGUGUUUUAAGACCCCCACCACACCGACGGCAGUGCUGAAUUUUGUAUAUAUAUAUAUUUUUUUACUGUUCACAAUUUUGUUUGGAAAAAAUUAAAGAAAUCUUCAAAGCAGUUGUAUGACAAUUUCCCAUUUCUUUACACAGUCUGUAAUGAUAUCGCUAUUCAAUUGUUUUUGCUAUAUGGCUCUUCUGAACCUUAAAGAGAUCAUGUGACUUGUGUCUCUACAACUAUUGUAUACUUGGAUUUUGCACAGUCAAGCAAUCCUGAAGAGGUUCACCAGGAAGCACACCAUUUCAUAAAUUAUGUCCCUGGUUACACAAUGUUACUAAAG